AGUGUCUGCCUGGUGGCCACUAGAGACAGCCCAGCCUGGGGCCAUGGAAGAAAACCCGACCUUGGAAUCAGAAGCCUGGGGCUCCUCUAGGGAGUGGCUGGCCCCCCGGGAGGCCAGAGGAGCCCCCUGCUCCUCCCCAGGCCCAUCGCUGUCUUCUGUGCUGAACGAGCUGCCCAGUGCUGCCACCCUUCGGUACCGAGACCCUGGGGUGCUGCCUUGGGGGGCGCUGGAGGAGGAGGAGGAGGAUGGAGGAAGGAGCAGAAAGGCCUUCACAGAAGUCACCCAGACAGAGCUGCAGGACCCUCACCCUUCCCGGGAACUGCCCUGGCCCAUGCAGGCCAGACGGGCACACAGGCAAAGAAAUGCCAGCAGGGACCAGGUGGUCUAUGGCUCUGGAACUAAGACGGACCGAUGGGCGCGGCUACUUCGGAGGUCCAAGGAGAAAACAAAGGAAGGCUUGCGAAGCCUGCAGCCCUGGGCGUGGACACUGAAGAGGAUCGGGGGCCAGUUUGGCGCCGGCACGGAGUCCUACUUCUCCCUGCUGCGCUUCCUGCUCCUUCUUAACGUGCUGGCCUCUGUGCUCAUGGCCUGCAUGACGCUGCUGCCCACCUGGUUGGGAGGCGCUCCCCCAGGCCCUCCCGGCCCCGACAUCUCCUCGCCCUGCGGCUCCUAUAACCCCCACUCCCAGGGCCUGGUCACCUUUGCCACCCAGCUCUUCAACUUGCUCUCGGGUGAGGGUUACCUGGAAUGGUCCCCUCUCUUCUAUGGCUUCUACCCGCCCCGCCCACGCCUGGCGGUCACCUACCUGUGCUGGGCCUUUGCCGUUGGCCUCAUCUGCCUCCUGCUCAUCCUGCAUCGCUCGGUGUCUGGGCUGAAGCAGACACUGCUGGCGGAGUCCGAGGCUCUGACCAGCUACAGCCACCGGGUGUUCUCGGCCUGGGACUUCGGUCUCUGCGGGGACGUCCACGUGCGGCUGCGCCAGCGCAUCAUCUUGUACGAAUUAAAGGUGGAGCUGGAGGAGACAGUGGUGCGGCGCCAGGCUGCGGUGCGGACGCUGGGCCAGCAAGCCAGGGUUUGGUUGGUGCGGGUGCUGCUCAACCUGCUGGUGGUCGCGCUCCUGGGGGCAGCCUUCUAUGGCGUCUACUGGGCUACGGGGUGCACCGUGGAGCUGCAGGAGAUGCCCCUUGUCCAGGAGUUGCCACUGCUGAAGCUUGGGGUGAAUUACCUUCCGUCCAUCUUCAUCGCUGGGGUCAAUUUUGUGCUGCCGCCCGUGUUCAAGCUCAUUGCUCCACUGGAGGGCUACACUCGGAGUCGCCAGAUCGUUUUUAUCCUGCUCAGGACCGUGUUUCUUCGCCUCGCCUCCCUGGUGGUCCUGCUCUUCUCUCUCUGGAAUCAGAUCACUUGUGGGGGCGACUCCGAGGCUGAGGACUGCAAAACCUGUGGCUACAAUUACAAACAACUUCCGUGCUGGGAGACUGUCCUGGGCCAGGAAAUGUACAAACUUCUGCUCUUUGAUCUGCUGACUGUCUUGGCAGUCGCGCUGCUCAUCCAGUUUCCUAGAAAGCUCCUCUGUGGCCUCUGUCCUGGGGCGCUGGGUCGUCUGGCGGGGACCCAAGAGUUCCAGGUGCCCGACGAGGUGCUGGGGCUCAUCUACGCGCAGACGGUGGUCUGGGUGGGGAGUUUUUUCUGCCCUUUACUGCCCCUGCUUAACACGGUCAAGUUCCUGCUGCUUUUCUACCUGAAGAAGCUUACCCUCUUCUCCACCUGCUCCCCGGCUGCCCGCACCUUCCGGGCCUCCGCGGCGAAUUUCUUUUUCCCCUUGGUCCUUCUCCUGGGUCUGGCCAUCUCCAGCGUUCCCCUGCUUUACAGCAUCUUCCUGAUCCCGCCUUCUAAGCUGUGUGGUCCAUUCCGGGGGCAGUCGUCCAUCUGGGCCCAGAUCCCUGAGUCUAUUUCCAGCCUCCCUGAGACCACCCAGAAUUUCCUCUUCUUCCUGGGGACCCAGGCUUUUGCUGUGCCCCUUCUGCUGAUCUCCAGGAGCCAGACGUUUGGAUAUAAUGGAAGAGCGUGUCAGGAGUGGCUUCCGUUCCUGUCUCCUUCAGCAUCCUGAUGGCGUACACUGUGGCUCUGGCUAACUCCUACGGACGCCUCAUCUCUGAGCUCAAACGUCAGAGAGAGACGGAGGCGCAGAAUAAAGUCUUCCUGGCACGGCGCGCUGUGGCGCUGACCUCCACCAAACCGGCUCUUUGACCCCCGCAGCCCACGUCCCGCUUUCAGACCCCAGGCCCAUUGUAAGCCUAGGUCACAACAUCUGUAAACUAGGAGAACUGGAGAAGACUCCACGCCCUUCCAGCUUUGGUAUCUGGAGAUUUCCAGGGCCCCUCGCCGCCACGUCCCUGACUCUCGGGUGAUCUUCCUUGUAUCAAUAAAUACAGCCGAGGUUGCUGA